UAUUGCGUUGCAUUCGCUAGCAAGAGCUCCUCCCCGCUAAGAUACUGCUUCAUUCCCGCUCGAGGAAAGGAAAGAGGCACGAGCGAUGGCACGAUUCAGGAACUUGAACAUCGGCGCAGGUCACUUGGUGGGUGUAUGGAUCCUUCUCAGCAGCUCGAUUCAAGGCAUGUGAUGUUCAUAGGUGUAUGUGAUGUUGAUCUAAAUCUGGCUAUAGAUGUUUGUGUUCUAGUAAUGGCAUUAGGAAUUGUAGGGGUUUUAGAUCUGUAACGUUGUUGCAGUCAACAAUUAUGUUUGUGGUGCUUCUUUUAUUGUCUUCUAGUAGGUCUUCAUAGUUGCAACUUGCUGUGCAAUUUCAUUGUUUGAUGUUUGCUUGACUAAAUGCUCCAGUUUUAUUGCUUGAAAA